rnacentral:rRNA from 1 species
UUGCAUAUCAAUAAGCGGAGGAAAAGAAACUAACAAGGAUUCCCCUAGUAACUGCGAGUGAAGCGGGAAGAGCUCAAAUUUAAAAUCUGGUAGUCUUUGAUUGCCCGAAUUGUAAUCUAGAGAAGUGUUAUCCGCGCUGGACCGUGUAUAAGUCUCCUGGAAUGGAGCGUCAUAGAGGGUGAGAAUCCCGUCUUUGACACGGACUACCAGGGCUUUGUGAUGCGCUCUCAACGAGUCGAGUUGUUUGGGAAUGCAGCUCUAAAUGGGUGGUAAAUUCCAUCUAAAGCUAAAUAUUGGCGAGAGACCGAUAGCGAACAAGUACCGUGAGGGAAAGAUGAAAAGAACUUUGGAAAGAGAGUUAAACAGUACGUGAAAUUGUUGAAAGGGAAACGCUUGAAGUCAGUCGCAUUGAUCAGGGAUCAACCUUGCUUUUGCUUGGUGCAUUUCCUGAUUGAUGGGUCAGCAUCAAUUUUGACCAGUGGAAAAAGGCUGAGAGAAUGUGGCAUCUUCGGAUGUGUUAUAGCUUUCAGUUGCAUACAUUGGUUGGGAUUGAGGAACUCAGCACGCCGCAAGGCCGGGUUUUUAACCACGUUCGUGCUUAGGAUGCUGGCAUAAUGGCUUUAAGCGACCCGUCUUGAAMCACGGACCA